rnacentral:lncRNA from 1 species
GUUACAUAAAACGUUAUUAUAAAAUCGGACUUGGUAAAUAAGAAAACAAAGAUAAUGAGCUGAUUAAUAUUUCGCAAAGAAGAACAUAACCCAAAACAAUACUUUCCCGCGCGUGGAUAAAAUUCGCGCCAAAUGGUACCACAAGGUAACCAAUCAGGUGUUGACUAGGAGUGUGUGACGUAGCGUUUAAAGCGCUAUAUGACGAGUUGUGUCGGCCGCCGCCAUGCCAUGCCGUUACUGUGAAACUGACGUGAAUUUUCUACGUGAAAAUCCUAUCAAGUGUUAAGAAAAUAAUAUUAUCUUAAUAAAUAGUGAGUGAACUAGUAACGACAAGGUAUCAUAAUCAAUUAGGUGUGUUCGUCGUGAAAGGACAAGUGACGUGUUAUUGUGAAAUAGAAGACACAAACCCGCUACCUGUCGGUUGGAGGUUGGCUAACGGCGGUAGAGAUUUGAAUGCCGUCACUUGAUAAAAUGAGGAAAUAACAAAAA